GAUGAACGCUAGCGGCAGGCUUAAUACAUGCAAGUCGUGGGGCAGCGCAGGUAGCAAUACUGGGCGGCGACCGGCAAACGGGUGCGGAACACGUACACAACCUUCCGAGAAGUGGGGAAUAGCCCAGAGAAAUUUGGAUUAAUACCCCGUAACAUAACGAUGUGGCAUCACAUUGUUAUUAUAGCUUCGGCGCUUCUUGAUGGGUGUGCGGCUGAUUAGAUAGUUGGCGGGGUAACGGCCCACCAAGUCUACGAUCAGUAGCUGAUGUGAGAGCAUGAUCAGCCACACGGGCACUGAGACACGGGGCCCGACUCCUACGGGAGGCAGCAGUAAGGAUAUUGGUCAAUGGACGCAAGUCUGACCAGCCAUGCCGCGUGAAGGAUUAAGGUCCUCUGGAUUGUAAACUUCUUUAUCUGGCGAAAAAGGCGAUUCUUCGUCACUUGACGGUACCAGAUGAAUAAGCACCGGUCUAACUCCGUGCCAGCAG
rnacentral:rRNA from 1 species